GAGCAGGGGUGGGGAAUGGCGGGGGUGUCCACUUGAGAAGAGGUGGGCACAUGUUAAGUCCUGUCAUAUGUAGUGGUUUGAGCUGCUCCAUAUAAUCACUAAGUAAUGCCAUAGAGCAGCCAGAUCAAGGAGAGCAAAAGGCCAUGGGAAAAAACAGAGAGUGUGUGCAUGUAUGAUGGCGGCAGAUUUGGAGAAUUUUGGUGAUACAUAUAGACAAACAGAAAAGGAGUCCCUGCUUUCUCUGGAGGACAGGAUGUGGAAUGAGAGGGCAAGAGGAUGUGGAGGAAAAAAACCCGAAGGAGACAGAUGAGGAGGAGGAAGGAUGGGGAGGAGACAGACAGACUAGCCUACUUUAACUCCUCUGACUGCAGGGAGUAGGGUCGUAUCACGCAGGCACAGAGGUGACGGGAAAAACAGGGAUAAAGAAUCUUUAUAUGGUUCCCACAGGAUGAGAUGGACUAUAUGCCAUGCACCUUCAGAAUCUUUCACAUUUAAACAAACGCACGCGACGGUAAAGAAAUGCCUCAGAUAAAAUAAGACUGAUAAAAAAGGGGGUUGUUUAUGCACAAGAGAAGGAAUGUAACAGAAAGCCAAACCUUAGCAAAUACAACUUGACCUUUAAAGAACAGCUGGAGUCAUUUGUUUUGUUAUCUAACUGUUCUAGGAUGACAUAGAAAUAUUUUUAUUAUGAUUAUCUCAGAUAACACACUGGGUUGAGGCAUUUGUCCUUCCACCGUAUCUAACUAUGUACUUGUUCAGUUAAGAUAAGUGUAGUUGCCAUAAUGGAGGACAGAAACACUGGAUCUAAACAACUACAGUGUUCAAAUGUAAUCUGACCUUUUUAUGAUUUUCCCCCUUUGAUAUCACGCAAGCCGUCACGCUGAGUAUCAAGGAGCCGACAAGCUAAUCUCGGUCUAUAUUGUGAAACCUGCAAAUAUUUGACCACACAUGGGAAAUACUUGGGAGCAUUACUGGCUUGACAAGAACAGAUGACGGUCUGCGGCUGUGAAACUGAAUCAGCUGCUGUCCCCUGCUCCUCCUGCUGCAGCCAACCCUCAGGGGAAAUGCUUCACCAUAACAACCGGACUUGCACCCUCUCCUCCUGAAGGAUGGUCGCCACCAGAGGGCGACAAAGCAUUGCAAGCCGUGGUGCAUGCAGUUUUUAUGCCAUGUUUUUAUGUUAGGCUACUCUUCAGUCCACCGCUUCUAUAUAAUACUAUAGCACCCUUCAAAACAAGAGUUACAAGGUUUUUUACAAUGUCACAUAAAAUACAGUAACAUGGAAUAUAACAAAAAAUAUCAGGGACUGGUCCAACAUAGAGAGAUAAAACCUUAUACAGGUGGGUUUUAACAGCUAAACAUUUUAAAUAGACUCACUCAGCCGCUGAGAUACUGAGGGGAAGUUUGCACCCCAGUGUUUGAGCUAAAACAUUAAAGCAGGAUCCCCCUCUGUCUUAAACUUAGAACUUACAACCUUUGGAUGCCAGACCUUUGGGGUAAUGGUGCAAGAUAACAAGUUAAAAGAUCAGAAACAUAAUGAGUCCAAACCAAAAAUUUAUACAAAAAAAUUAAUCCUAAAAUGACUAGAGAGCUAAUGUAAUCCAGCCAGACCAAAGAGGCAUGAUUUCUGUGUCUGGUGUAUGCUUCCUUCACUCAGUGUAGAUGAGAAAAUAAUGUAUCAAUGAAGCAAGUAAGUAAUGAAUUCCAGUAGUCAAGAUGAGAAGAAAUUAAGAUGUGGGUAGGUCGCUCAACUAUGUCAGUGUUGAGCAUUGGUUAACUCUGGAAAUGAUCAAGACUGAAUAAGACUGCUGAGGUAUGGAUAAAAAACCACAGAUGUCUGGCUGGAUUUUUUAAUUUAGCUUUCUUUAGUCCAAGAUCAGGGAUGAGACUUCCCUUUCCUCAUCCCUAAUGAAGCUGCCAUUGCUGCCAUUUCCAGCACCAUUGAGGUUUGCUGCAGCCCACCCUGUCACAAUGAACACAUUAGUGGUAUUUAAAAGAAAAUCUUAGAAAACAACAGACUCUACGUUAGACACUGCUGCCAGGACACACAAAGUUCAAGAACAAUUAUCAAAGAGUACACGCAAGGCUAAUUUUGUGUGAGGGGUCAAUAUGUACCUAAUAUGUAUUCAUUAUCAUCUGUAGCAGCAAUAGAAGGAAAUAAAUAGAGAUGAGGAGAAAAAGACCAUUUCUAAUCAAUUUUAAAAUAGCAAUAUAUAGUACAUAAAUGAAAGUAUUUGUAUUACUUGAAAUUGUGUUACAAUACUGACUUAUAUCCUAAUUUUUACAGACACCCUUAAGGAAGGAGAAAGCACACUGACUUUACAGAAACAAGUAGGUGUGACAUGCCAUAGUGCAAAAGCACCAUAGCCUUGUUUAUUAAGCCCAGUGUAAAGGGUGUGUUUGCAUGCAAAAGUAUGUGUUUGUACAGCUAUGUUUCUGUCACAUAAUUAAAGUUUUAAUAUUGUAAAUCUGUUUUGCUAAAUAUGAAUGGACUGAAGUCUUUUCACAAUAAACUGUUAAGGUGUGUUUUCCCUCUUGGUUAUACAAUGUACUGAACACAAGCCUGAACAUGUACUCCUAUAACAUCCACAUAAUUAAAUAUCAAUUUAAUAAAGUGAACCAUCUGCACAGUU